CUUUGCCAUGUGGCCUGUCGGAGUUCAGCAGCAAUGUGGCGGCCAGCUUUCCCCAGAGUGAGCGUGAAACUGCAGGCCCAAGGAGGAAGCCACCGCCUAGGUAACUUAACCUUGUGACAGCUCAUUACCUUUGCCUCUUCCUGUUUGCUAGAAACAAAUCCCAAGUCCAGUCCUGGCUCAAGGGGUGGAGAUUCUUCAUCAAUACCUCGGGAAGGCCACUGAGUGAUCAAAUCAAUCCAUUUUUGAGCUGUGCUUUAGUUUGCCAAAGACUGGAGACGGAUGAGAAGUUAUGAGGGUGCGGCAGAGACAUUUGAGCUUUGUUUUGGAAUCUUUCAAGACCAGAGUACAACGGGAUAUGUUUUGGAGAACACAGAUCUUAGUUCUGCAUGAUCUCUUCCAAGCCACAGCAACGGGGCUCUGCAGGAGUCAUCCAGAUGAAGCUGUGACAAUGUGCCUUUCGUGUUCCUGUUUUUCUAUCCUGCCAGCCCACAUCCAUCUUCCCAGGGCAGCUCUCUGUCAGUCAGGAGGACAGUCCCCAGCCUCGGGACCCUCUGCAGAAGCUCCCUGGCCAAGCACUCCUAAGAGAAAAGCCAAGCCAGGGUAAGCCUGUGCAUAUGAG
rnacentral:lncRNA from 1 species